rnacentral:rRNA from 1 species
UGCCAGCAGCCGCGGUAAUACGUAGGUGGCAAGCGUUGUCCGGAUUUACUGGGCGUAAAGGGUGCGUAGGCGGACAAUUAAGUCAGAUGUGAAAUCCCAGGGCUCAACCUUGGGGCUGCAUUUGAUACUGGUUGUCUAGAGUGCAGGAGAGGAGAGCGGAAUUCCUAGUGUAGCGGUGAAAUGCGUAGAUAUUAGGAAGAACACCAGUGGCGAAGGCGGCUCUCUGGACUGUAACUGACGCUGAGGCACGAAAGCGUGGGGAGCGAACAGGAUUAGAAACCCCAGUAGUCC